UACUGUUGGNCGACGAUGUUCUCGGACAGACCNCACGACCGAUCUGCGACGCUAUAGCUUUGGGUACUUUCAGGACCCGUCUUGAAACACGGACCAAGGAGUCUAGCAUGUGCGCGAGUCAUUGGGAAUCNCUAAACCUAAAGGCGCAAUGAAAGUGAAGGUCNUCCUWGCGANGACCGAGGGAAGACGGGCGGUUCGCCGUUAAAAGCGGCCGCUCCGCANUCCCGGGGCGUCUCGUUCUCAUCGCGAGAAGAGGCGCACCAAGAGCGUACACGCUGGGACCCGAAAGAUGGUGAACUAUGCCUGGUCAGGACGAAGUCAGGGGAAACCCUGAUGGAGGUCCGUAGCGAUUCU
rnacentral:rRNA from 1 species